rnacentral:rRNA from 1 species
GAUCUCAAAUCAGGUAAGGAUACCCGCUGAACUUAAGCAUAUCAAUAAGCGGAGGAAAAGAAACUAACAAGGAUUCCCCUAGUAAUGGCGAAUGAAGCGGGAAAAGCUCAAAUUUGAAAUCUGGCCGUUCCGCGGUCCGAGUUGUAAUUUCAAGAAGCGUCUUCGGAUGCGGCCCGGGUUUAAGUUCCUUGGAACAGGACGUCAUAGAGGGUGAGAACCCCGUCUUUGGCCCGGUGACCGUGUUCAUGUGAAGCGUUUUCGAAGAGUCGAGUUGUUUGGGAAUGCAGCUCUAAAUGGGUGGUAAAUUCCAUCUAAAGCUAAAUAUUGGUGGGAGACCGAUAGCGAACAAGUAGAGUGAUCGAAAGGUGAAAAGAACUUUGAAAAGAGAGUUAAACAGUACGUGAAAUUGUUGAAAGGGAAGCGC